AAAGUCUUGGUCCUGAACUUACCGUUAUUUUUUAUUGAAAUUAUACAUGCAAGCCUCAGCGCACCAGUGAAAAUGCCCACAACCCCUGUAACAGAAAAAGUGGAGCAGGCAUCAGGCACCACACUAGAGCCCAUAACGCCUUGCCAAGCCACACCCACACGGGCCAACCAGCAGUAAUUAACAUUGGGAUAUGAGUGAAAACUUGACCCAGCUACAAUAAUCAUAGGGCCGGUUAAUUUCGUGCCAGCCACCGCGGUUAUACGAAAGGCCAAAAUUAACGACAAAACGGCGUAAAAUGUGACUAGAGAAUUAUAAUAUUAUAAAAAUUUUAAACUCAUAAACAGUUGUAAAACACUAAGUUAAUGAGGAAACCCAUAAAUAAAUCUUUUAAUAUUACCCCUUGACCACACGAAAGCUUAGAAACAAACUAGGAUUAGAUACCCUACUAUGCUAAGCCAUAAACAUUGAUAGAUAAAUUACAAUACUUUCCGCCAGAGAACUACAAGUGAAAAACUUGAAACUCAAAGGACUUGGCGGUGUCCCACAUUCAGCCUAGAGGAGCCUGUCCUAUAAUCGAUACCCCACGUUUUACCUCACCCUCACUAGCACUAACCCAGCCUAUAUACCGCCGUCGACAGCUUACCCCAUGAGGGAAAAAUAGUAAGCAAAAUAGCCCCCCGCUAAUACGUCAGGUCAAGGUGUAGCUUAUGUGACGGAAGAGAUUGGCUACAUUUUUUAUAUUAAAAAACACGGAAUGCUACAUGAAAAAUAACAUGAAGGCGAAUUUAGUAGUAAGACAGACAAGAGAACCUAUCUUAAUAGUGCUCUGGGACGCGCACACACCGCCCGUCACCCUCCUCGACAACCAAUAAUCAAUCCAUAAUACAUGCUUUUAACCAAAGAUGAGGCAAGUCGUAACAUGGUAAGCGUACCGGAAGGUGUGCUUGGACUAA
rnacentral:ncRNA from 1 species